GAUGAACGCUGGCGGCGUGCCUAAUACAUGCAAGUCGAGCGAACAGAUGAGGAGCUUGCUCCUCUGACGUUAGCGGCGGACGGGUGAGUAACACGUGGAUAACCUACCUAUAAGACUGGGAUAACUUCGGGAAACCGGAGCUAAUACCGGAUAAUAUAUUGAACCGCAUGGUUCAAUAGUGAAAGACGGUUUUGCUGUCACUUAUAGAUGGAUCCGCGCCGCAUUAGCUAGUUGGUAAGGUAACGGCUUACCAAGGCAACGAUGCGUAGCCGACCUGAGAGGGUGAUCGGCCACACUGGAACUGAGACACGGUCCAGACUCCUACGGGAGGCAGCAGUAGGGAAUCUUCCGCAAUGGGCGAAAGCCUGACGGAGCAAGGCCGCGUGAGUGACGAAGGUCUUCGGAUCGUAAAACUCUGUUAUUAGGGAAGAACAAAUGUGUAAGUAACUAUGCCCGUCUUGACGGUACCUAAUCAGAAAGCCACGGCUAACUACGUG
rnacentral:rRNA from 1 species